AUGCAAGUCGAACGGCAGCACAGGAGAGCUUGCUCUCUGGGUGGCGAGUGGCGGACGGGUGAGGAAUACAUCGGAAUCUACUCUGUCGUGGGGGAUAACGUAGGGAAACUUACGCUAAUACCGCAUACGACCUACGGGUGAAAGCAGGGGAUCUUCGGACCUUGCGCGAUUGAAUGAGCCGAUGUCGGAUUAGCUAGUUGGCGGGGUAAAGGCCCACCAAGGCGACGAUCCGUAGCUGGUCUGAGAGGAUGAUCAGCCACACUGGAACUGAGACACGGUCCAGACUCCUACGGGAGGCAGCAGUGGGGAAUAUUGGACAAUGGGCGCAAGCCUGAUCCAGCCAUACCGCGUGGGUGAAGAAGGCCUUCGGGUUGUAAAGCCCUUUUGUUGGGAAAGAAAUCCAGCUGGUUAAUACCCGGUAGGGAUGACGGUACCCAACGAAUAAGCACCGGCUAACUUCGUGCCAGCAGCCGCGGUAAUACGAAGGGUGCAAGCGUUACUCGGAAUUACUGGGCGUAAAGCGUGCGUAGGUGGUUAUUUAAGUCCGUUGUGAAAGCCCUGGGCUCAACCUGGGUACUGCAGUGGAUACUGGAUGACUAGAAUG
rnacentral:rRNA from 1 species